rnacentral:rRNA from 1 species
GACAGAGGGUGCAAGCGUUGUUCGGAAUCAUUGGGCGUAAAGGGCGCGUAGGUGGCUCAGUAAGUUGAAUGUGAAAGCCCAGGGCUUAACCUUGGAAGUGCAUCCAAAACUGCUGAACUAGAGUCCCGGAGAGGGUGGUGGAAUUCCCAGUGUAGAGGUGAAAUUCGUAGAUAUUGGGAGGAACACCGGUGGCGAAGGCGGCCAACUGGGCUGUAACUGACGCUGAGGCGCGAGAGCGUGGGUAGCAAACAGG